GACGAGCGCUGGCGGCGUGCUUAACACAUGCAAGUCGAACGCGCCUGUCCUCUGGGUUUCUGGGGGGUGGGUGAGUGGCGAACGGGUGAGUAACACGUGAGUAACCUGCCCCCUUCUUCGGGAUAACGGUCUGAAAGGGCUGCUAAUACCGGGUAUUCACUGGUCUCCGCAUGGGGUCUGGUGGAAAGGUUUUUUUCUGGUGGGGGAUGGGCUCGCGGCCUAUCAGCUUGUUGGUGGGGUGAUGGCCCACCAAGGCUUUGACGGGUAGCCGGCCUGAGAGGGUGACCGGUCACAUUGGGACUGAGAUACGGCCCAGACUCCUACGGGAGGCAGCAGUGGGGAAUAUUGCACAAUGGGCGCAAGCCUGAUGCAGCGACGCCGCGUGAGGGAUGGAGGCCUUCGGGUUGUGAACCUCUUUCGCCCGUGGUCAAGCCGCGACGUGGGUCGUGGUGAGGGUAGUGGGUAAAGAAGCGCCGGCUAACUACGUG
rnacentral:rRNA from 1 species